GUACUCUCACACUUCUGAUCCUUUGGAUUGGGAGCGGUGGACUUGGGUGCUGCUGCUUUUCCGGUGGCUCACCUCAAAUGCCUUAGUGCAACUCUUGGUUGGACAUAGUACGGCGUGAUAAGUGUCUUCGCCGGCACCUCGUAAGAGGGUGGCUGAUCGGGAGCUCUGUGCUUUCAAACCGUCUUCGGACACUCUCUGACA
rnacentral:misc_RNA from 1 species